CAGACACACAGACAAAUGCACAUUUCUAAAAUAUUUAGUAAGAAGAAGAAGAACAAACCUUUUACUGCUGGUUUUAAGUUUCCUUUGCAAGGUUCAAUUCUGCCUGGCUUUUGGCAUUUAGAGGUAGCUUUUCUCAUUGAUCCUUCUCAUUCUUUGUAGACUUUCUGCUAGUUUUGAAAAAACCUGUUUGAGAUGCUUGUUUACCCAAUUUGGUCUGCAAGCCUUCACUAUGAUUCCCCCCACCUCUUUUCUUGCAACGAAGGCUUCAGGAUUGCAAUUUUGAUAUAAAUUCCAAGCUUCCUUCACAUUCAGUUCAGUCUGUUCCCUUAAUUAAUUCCCUUAAUGUUUCUUAAAGUUUCCUCUUUUGAAAUCAAAGACCACAGUUGCAGACCUGUUUUUGUUUAUCCCUCCAUUCCAUUUAAACUGAAUGAGCUUAUUUCUCUUCCCUGGUCAUGUUUUACUAAGGAAGUUUUCCAGUUGAAAUAAAAAAAUCUUGUGUAAAACACCCUAAUCCUUUCUACACCAAUUAAGUCAAUGACACAAACAGAGAACAGGAUCAGGUCUGCAUUCCAGCAGUGUACCAUGCACCAUGGAAACAAUGGAAAUACUCCAAAUUUCUUCAGGUCUGGCCAAGCCAUGUUUGACGCUGGACCAAAGUAGGACAAGACACCGACACAACUCCUGCUGGGAGGGAGCUAAAAUGACACAGAGCCGUGCCAGCUGUACUAGCUUUAUGUCCCCCAAGAAUUCCCUUAACUGGGAGAAUUUACUGCUGUCCACCUGGGGCAGGUUUAUAGGCCAUUUGUGCUGCCUGAGCUGCCCACACUGGUGCUUUCACCUUGUGGAUCAUUUCAGUGAAUGGUCUCUAACCACAGUCCCAAGCCUCCCAACAUGCCCACUCCCAGAGUGGCAUGCAGAAGAAUACUGUGAAGCUCUGUCUUGAGACACCCAAACAAGCAUGGGGUGGUGUAACAUGGUGCUGUUAGCAGCUAUAAACUGAGAUCUUUGGCAGCAAGCACCCUGCUAAAGCAGAUGCAACAUAGACAGUUUGGAUUUGAAGGAGGUAAAAGCCAUGUUCCCUCUAAUUUUUCCCAUAUGUGAGCAGAAUGAAUUUUACUAUGUGCACCAGUGUGAAGCUGAGGGGUCACACAUUACCUCCAUUUUGGUGCACAUAACAAAAUUCAUGCAGAGGAAGUGGGGUGAGGGGCUAGCAGUGUGGGAGGGAGCUCAGAGCUGGGGCAGAAAGUUGGGGUACAGAGAUAUGAGGACUCCAGAUGAGGGGUGUAGACUCUGGGUUGGGCCAGGAAUGAGGGGUUUAGGAUAUGGGCUACCCCAGGGCUACAGCAGGGAGAGAGGAUUGCUCCUGGCUCUCUCUCCCCAUAACAGCACCUGGCCUGGGAAGUGGAGGUAAGAGAGGCACCUCUCCAUACUGCAGCAAAUCCAGGGCUUGGGCUACAGGAUAGACAUACUUCCUCAACCACAGCAGGUCUGUGCUGGGGCUGGGUUUAGGCCACAGUAGGUCCAGAGCAAGGCAGGGGGAAGGGCACCUUUCCCCUGGCUACAGCCCAUUCAGGACUCUUUUGAAGUCAGCAGACACUGGUCCCUCCCUUGGCCACAGCAGGUCCAACCCAGUCACAUUCCCAUAGUGCCUGUGUGUUACUUAAUAGGUUGUUGCACAGCUUACAGGGAACUUAGGUAAAAGGGAUCAUUUGCACUUGAUGAGCUAAUUAUCUCGCCAGCUGGAGAGCACAGUGAAGAAAGAAAGCUUUAUAAAAGGCUGAUCCAGAAAACCUGCUCCAUCUGAUUGCUGCAAUGUUGUGAUGUACCUGGAGCAUACACUGAACAGAGGUACCCUGGUGUUCUGUGAAUGCUGCUUAUGUCACAAAGGGAUUACCAUAUAGAAUUUUCAAGUGUUUAAGAGAAAGCCUGUUCACAGGCAGCAAGAAAUUGGUUCUGGUAUUGGAGACAUACAACCUAGCACCUAAAACAAUAUACUGCACAUGUUUGAUGCAACCUUGGUCUCAGGCCGAAGGUACAGGGCUGCAAGGACUAAUCUGGGUGGCCUGGAAGGAGAACGGGGGAACCUGGCACCAGCAGCAGGGGUUGCUCCUGCCCUGCACUCACCACGAUGGCAGAAAAAAGAGGGCUCAGUCAACUUGAUGUUAAUUUGAAUGUUUGUACGAUGGAUUGCCAUUGAAUGCGCUUGAAUACGAGUAAUUUUACCAGAUGUCCCGGAUUCAGCAUAGAGAAAUAUGGUCACCCUAUUUGUAAGACUUGGAAAGGAACUUAGACAAUGCUUUGUUCUCUUCACUCUGAUCCUGAAGGUAAACUUCACCUAUUUUUAAGAAUAUAAGACUCUGGCUUUUCCAGAGAGCAGCCAAUGGACAUAAAGGAGCCUAUAGGAUGAAUAGAGAGGAGAACAUCAGCAUAUAUAAGCCUGUGUAAUGGUUGCAACAAUUAGAAGACCCCUUGGGGCUAAGGAGAUUAAAUCACAGGACUUCCAUUGUUUCAGCUGGAUAGCGAGAGAGCAGGCAAAAUCCAGUGUCCAAGAUUUGGCACUUUUAAAAAAUUGUAAAGGAUUUUUCCUGGAGUCUAUUUGUUUUGUGAAAGAAAAAGCAACAAACAGUGUUGUCCUAGGAGCAAAUAAAGCAACUAGAAAACAGACUAGAACUGUGUUGUCACUGAACAUCUGGCAAGCACAGUAAGUAUAAUUACAGGAAGAAGCAGCAGAGUCUGUAGGCAAGAUCACUUAAGGAAAGUAGUCUGCGGUAUACAAAAUGUAAAAGAACUCAUUCUGGGGUGUGCACCAGAGUGACUUUUAAUCUGUUACCUGUUUGUUAUAUUUAUGGAGAAAAUAAAUUUAAGGAAGGAUUUAAUUAGAAGAAAACUGAUUUUUUA